UACGGGGGGGGCAAGCGUUGUUCGGAAUUACUGGGCGUAAAGGGUUCGUAGGUGGCUUACUAAGUCAGACGUGAAAUCCCUCAGCUUAACUGGGGAACUGCGUCUGAGACUGGUGAGCUUGAGUGCAGGAGAGGAACGCGGAAUUCCAGGUGUAGCGGUGAAAUGCGUAGAUAUCUGGAGGAACACCGGUGGCGAAGGCGGCGUUCUGGACUGCUACUGACACUGAGGAACGAAAGCCAGGGGAGCAAACGGG
rnacentral:rRNA from 1 species